rnacentral:lncRNA from 1 species
GGGAGAGCUGAGGCCGGCGGCGCCCUCCACUUAAGCGCCAUCGGCUGCGCGACAAGAGAACUCCUACCCGUCCGUGGGUGUGGGGAUGCAGAUCCCCGUCGCUAGCCUGCACAAGGCCACGGUUGAUGCGCCGACGCAGGGGUCACCGCCGUCUUCGUCAGGUAAGCAAAGUGAUCCACCUUUCUCUUUCUCAUCAGAUCCAUUUUGUUGUGAUAUUGCAUGCAUCAAUCAAUUGUUAUGAUUCUCUGAGUGUAAAAAAUCAAAAAUUUACCUGAAUAAUUUGCCUAUAUAGAUAUGCAGAUGAUUUAUCGUCUGAUCAAGAUUAAUUAGCUUUGCAUAUUAUAUUGAACUGAUAGAUGAAGUGGCAUAGCACCUUUGAUGAUCAUAUUUGUGCGUUAAAUCUCAAACCUGUCAUCCUUCUCAAAUGCCUCCUGCUUCCACUAAGUUCCUUAAUUUGCUGCUCCUUUUCAGGUGACUUUUUCAUGCCAUUUAUACAUCUGAAAAGUAGAGAAUACCCUCUAAAUCAAAGCAACAGAUUUGUGGAUUUGUGGAAUUGGUGUUGUUCCGUUUCCACCUGGCCAAUCAUCUUUGGUCACUGAUUCUGAGGUACGUGGUUGUUUUAUGUUAAUCCCAUUUAGUUUUGCACUUCAUGGCCUGGGUGGCCGCUGGACACCCGGCACACGGUCUAGAUCAGCCCUAACAUUCAGGCCAUUAGCUUAAAAAAUGUUGGUAGCUGAACACGUAAAUCAUCUACAGCUGUUGUAAAAGGAGACUACUGUUUGUUGACAAUCACACAUCAGUGCUGCUGUACUGUAUGAUUUUUCUUUUAUGAUUGUUUCCGUUUGAGCCUUGUAGCUGUACUUUCUAUGGUUCCUAACAUGGUUGUAGGUUAGAUGUUUCUGUUGGUUUGUCUUGCUGUAGAAUCUGCCAAUAUUCAUUUGUUACACAUUUUAUUAUGUAGAUGUACUUUCUGUGGUUCCUAACAUGGCUGCUUUACAGAAUAUUGAUGGGGGUAACACAAACAUGGGAGGCCUAUUAACUUCUGCUGCAGACCUAAAUUUCUUGCAGAUUUAAUUCAUUUGUAUUCAUGUAAUUGGUCGAGGUGAGAAUGAUAUGCCGUUGUUCAUGCCAAAGGCUGUGACACAUUUCUUUCUUUUUGCGAUAGUGCAAAUUGAUUGAUGAUGCAGCGCAACUAGCACAAGUUCAUCAUAUGGCUGUCUGCAUCACUAUGAUAUAGAGGCCCGGGGUUUAAUCUCCUUUUCAAAAAAGCACAAGUUCAUCGUGUCCUCUCCACAUCUAUGGAUAUCAGGUUCAAUAUCCAUGAUUUCUUAUCGAGUUAUUACUCGACCUUUUUUAAUCAUGGUACAAUAGUCGAUUUUUUAAAUAAAAAAACGACCUCCAUGGAUGUCACCCGCCAUUGGCAUUUAGCGAGCCAAUAUAUCACUACUUUGAUGGAUACAAUAGAAGUAAUUAUGUACACAUAUACGUGAUUCUAAAUUGUACUUAACAUGGGGUAUUUAAUUCUUUUAGCAGAUUAAACGAUCAUGUUGCUCUCUAAGUAAGUUGAGGAAAAGGAGCACAAUCCAGAGUCCGCCACCUAUGUUUCUAUUAUGGCAUCACCUACGAGCUGGUCCUAUGCGUUCAGUCUGCACAUGCGCUGAACGAGCCAUCCACUAUUUGGUGCCGCUGCUGGCUAAUCAUGGUUAUGGGUUGCUGAUGUAUUGGAGUUCGACCACUCUGAGAAAGGCGAUGCUCUGCAUGGUAAGUUUCUUAUGGCUGUGGCUGUUUUUCCUGAUGUGUUCACAUGAGGGGUAUAUUUUAGGUAUGUAGUUAUUUUGGUCCAGAUGUUGACAAAGGAUGAAGCAUGUGAUUUUCAAGAGGCAAGUUCCCUUGGAUAAUUAUGUGCAUUCUGAUGAGUACGUACCUGAGAAAAAUUCAAGAGGCUUUAGUGAGUUGAUUGUGCCCACAAGAGGUUGUCUUGCUUAGACUUGGUGUAACACAUGUCUAUGUAUCAGUAAAUUGAGAUGUUGUUACCGGGAUAUCAAUUCCGCUACCAUCUUCAUAUGCAGUACUCCCUCCGUCUAGGUGAGUAAGUCACCUUACGAAAAUUAGAUUUUCACCAAAGUGUAACGUUGGUCAGUACAGCCAAAGAUAAUAUCACCGACAUAUAUUUGGC